rnacentral:lncRNA from 1 species
GUACACCUUUACUUGCUUUUUAUGAUCAAUAUAAUUAUAUAAUAUAAAAAUAAUAGAGAAGAUAAGGGAGCAGAGAUCUUAUCGCUUAUUCUUUCGGUGGGUUUUGCUGUUCUCAUCAAAAGAUGCUUUAGCACUUUCCUUGGGUCAGUGGCUAAGAAAAAUUUGUGGACGAGAACAAAGGUGCUGUGCCAAUAAUCUCAGCACCCAAAGCUGUGCCCUUGCUGAGUGAUCAUUUCCUUCAAAAGCUUCCAGUGGGCAUCUUUAUUAAAAUUGGAUAAUAAACAAAUCAGAAUAGGUCUCGACCCUUUUUAGAUGAUUUCCAGUAAGCUUCAAUUCCCCUAUUGUGUGCACAGCAUUCACUGUACCUAUUCCGACGAGAACAAGUAACCAAUACCUUCUCUUUGUUCCUAAAGAAUGUCGCUGAUUCAGUUUGGUUUACUUGGUCAUCCUUAUUCUCCUUCCAACCGGAAAGCGUUCGUUUAGGCCUCUCUGGAGCGACCUCCUCCUCCUUUUCUCGAGUCGCAGCCUCAGCCUCGCUGUGCUUUCUCUUCUUCCCCAUUACUUUUGUUGAAUUAUCUGAGAAAGAGUUGGGGGGCUAUCGGAGCGGAGGCUUCUGCCAUUGCAGCUCUGUAAGCCUUGUGUUAUUUGCAGAAAAGAGCAAAAGGUUGGAGCUUUGAUGGGGAGCUUAUUAAAGGAGAUGAGGAACGGUGGCCACACAGUGGUUGAUACUGAAAGCAAGGCUGGGUUUGGUUGGUAAGACAACACAAAAAUAUAUGAUAUGAAUUCUUAUGAUAAUUUCGAGGUGGAGACUUGGACUUGGAGAAUGUCAAAAAAAAUUCUUUCUUCUGAUAACGAAGUUGGUGUGGUUUGAAAGAUUUGGACCUUGACUUGGGACUUGGAUCUGGAGCAUCCAUUAUUGGACAUGUGGAUGAAAGAGAAACUCAUCAUUGCAGAGUCUUGCUUUCUUAUCAGCAGGCCAAAGAUUCGGUUCCAGGAACCAGAAUUGGGAGGAGGUGCAUAGAGUUGUGAGGAGAGAAAGAGAGAGAGCGUUGAGGCUCUGAAUUUAGAGAUAGAGAAAUCGGGCUGAUAACGUGAUAUAAAAUUAAGAGAUUGAGGAGAGAAUUUAGAAGCAGAGAAAAUGUAGGAUUUGUUCCUAUAGCUUCAGUCUUAUUUUGAUCUGCAUAUUACAAAGGAAGGGUGAACCUUUUUAUAGGCAAAAGCCCUUCCAACAUGUGUGCUACACAUAUAUUUGCUUUACAACAUCCAUGCCUUUCUAGCACUUUUUGUUCCAAUACAAAUUUUGAGCUUGCUUCUGUGCAAACUUGAGUCAGACACCUUCUGACAGAAAUUGUGCUACAGGAUGAACCAUAACAAAAAUUGAUCAAUGAAAAUUUUAAUGAAGAAAUAUGUAUCGAACCACGAAUGGAAGGAGACGGGGUGAAUGAGGAAAGAAGCAUUUAUGUGAAGCUAAUGGUUUGCAAAUGAAAGAAGAUGGUUUGUCAUGCAGAUGCAGGGGAGCGUUUUGUUAGUUUACUCUUUAGUUUCCUAACCAUUCCUCUUGGGUUUGCUUUAAAACGCUCUUUGUCAGGUUUUUGAUUUGCUUAUCUGCUCAUUAGUAUCAAAGAUACCUCUGACUGAUAUUCUUCUGAAUAAUAAAUCCGUAUUGUAUUUGACCAACGUCGUUCGUGACCAAAAGAUCAAUGUAAAUUCCCGUUUGGUUGGUGACACCAGGAACAAGGAUGAAGCAAACAUAUCUUUGAAGCAAAUCUAAGGGUGUGGUUUGUUAUGCAGAAUCUGGAGAAGAUUUUGUGAAUUUACUUUUUAGUUUCCUAAUUGUUCCAGUCGGGUUUAUUUUGAAAGAAAUGAUGCAGAUGGCAGUGCUCGAGGAUUCUUGAAACGACAGGCAAUGUUCAUGGUAGAGGACAGUCUCAUUGGGAGACCAGUAUCUCCAAUCCUUGGUGUGUCUGUUCUGAACCGAGUGUUCCUCUCAAUGAUAUUGAGGUGCAAGUGGUGAAUGUGGGCGACCAAGAGGUGAGUUAUUUCAUUUUGUGGCUUGUGGUUUUUUCUAGGAUGUUGUUAAAACAAUUGUUUCUUAAUCUCAAAUUUUGUUUAGACAAACACACACAUAAUAUCCUGGUCAUGUAUUGUGAAAUUAUUUUCUGUUUUCAUGUUUGUGAUGUUUUAAUUGUCUUUGCACUGCAGGGGUUUCGUCUUUCGGUUGCUUCUUUUGUUACCGACUCUGCUCUAACCAGUGUUUUGCCGAGGUAGCCAAAGCAAGAACAACGAGGAUCAGGAUACAUGGCUUAGUUUACCUAAAUUUCUACUGGCUGAUACGAUAUCCCUGCUAAAUCCAGCUUGUAAAAUGGCCGAAGUUAUGUUUUUAGUUUGAAUCCAUUCUGAGGAAGCUUAUAUGAAACUGUAAUGGCAUUACAUUUUCUUUAUUAUAUUAUCUUUAGGCUUUUCAUUGAAUCUUCUAUAUUAUUUUAUAUAAAGAUUUUCUUUAAAAAGAUUGUACACCUAAUUUUUCUUUUAUUGUAAUGC